UAUUUCACUGAGCCAUCUGCCCAGCCCUGACGUUGUGGAUUUUUAAAGGAUUUUCUCGUAUGUAAAUAGGAGACCUUUUGAUCUAAAGAGUUUUCAAUAUUUCAAAAACAGAAAGGCUAUAUAAUUAUGCCCUGCAAGAAACCAUAAAAGUCAGGAAAGUAUAAAGGAAGAGGCGGUCUCUCUUUUAAAGAACUCAGAAACUAGCAGAAAGAUAAACUGGGUCACUAGGCAAACAUGCUGUUCCAGAAGAUGCUACAGACCAAAGCACAAAUCCACGAGGAGCCGCUAAGUCAGCCUGUGCAGGGAGGUCAAGAGAUUUAGGCCUCGAAAAAACUGACUGAUACCUGACCUGAGUUCUGAGAUUGAGCUUUUGAAAACACUGAAAUUUCGAGAUUACCAGGAUACUUAUAGCCAGAUCCAAUACAAUAGUAGACAAAAUUAUUGUGGUUUAUAAUUAAAACAUCAAUUUCUCCUAUAAGAAUUUGAAUUAUAAAUAUCUAGUGUUUUAAAAUAAGGUCUAUCUUGAACAUAAGAAAAAAAAAUGUUGAUUU